rnacentral:rRNA from 1 species
UACGGAGUGGGCUAGCGUUGUUCGGAAUUACUGGGCGUAAAGCGCACGUAGGCGGCUUUGUAAGUUAGAGGUGAAAGCCCGGGGCUCAACUCCGGAAUUGCCUUUAAGACUGCAUCGCUAGAAUUGUGGAGAGGUAAGUGGAAUUCCGAGUGUAGAGGUGAAAUUCGUAGAUAUUCGGAAGAACACCGGUGGCGAAGGCGGGUCUCUGGGCCAUUACUGACGCUGAGGAGCGAAAGCGUGGGGAGCGAACAGG